CUUCCAGACUCCUACGGGAGGCAGCAGUGGGGGAUAUUGCACAAUGGGGGGAACCCUGAUGCAGCGACGCCGCGUGGGUGAAGAAGUAUUUCGGUAUGUAAAGCCCUAUCGGCAGGGAAGAAAUUGGACGGUACCUGACUAAGAAGCCCCGGCUAACUCCGUGCCAGCAGCCGCGGUAAUACGGAGGAUGCGAGCGUUAUCCGGAUUUAUUGGGUUUAAAGGGGGCGCAGGCGGCACGGCAAGCCGGCGGGCAAAUCGCGGGGCUCAACCCCGCCCAGCCGUCGGAACUGCCGGGCUAGAGUGGGCGAGAAGUGCGCGGAAUGCGUGGUGUAGCGGUGAAAUGCAUAGAUAUCACGCAGAACUCCGAUUGCGAAGGCAGCGCACCGGCGCCCUACUGACGCUCAGGCACGAAAGCGUGGGUAUCGAACAGGAUUAGAUACCCCUGUACCA
rnacentral:rRNA from 1 species